rnacentral:tRNA from 1 species
GCCGAUGUAGCUCAGCCGGUAGAGCAAGCGAUUCGUAAUCGCUAGGUCAGGAGUUCGAAUCUCCUCAUCGGCUCCA